AGAGUUUGAUCCUGGCUCAGGAUGAACGCUGGCGGUAUGCUUUACACAUGCAAGUCGUACGAGAGUUUUUAACUCAAGUGGCGGACGGGUGAGUAACACGUAAGAAUUUGCCUUUAGGAGGGGGACAACAACUGGAAACGGUUGCUAAUACCCCAUAUGCUUUCGAGUGAAACGGUUUUUCCGCCUAAAGAGAAGCUUGCGGCUGAUUAGCUUGUUGGUGAGGUAAUGGCUCACCAAGGCGACGAUCAGUAUCUGGUUUGAGAGGACGAUCAGACACACUGGAACUGAGACACGGUCCAGACUCCUACGGGAGGCAGCAGUGGGGAAUUUUCCGCAAUGGGCGAAAGCCUGACGGAGCAAUACCGCGUGAGGGAUGACGGCCUAUGGGUUGUAAACCUCUUUUUUCAGGGAGGAAUCAAUGACGUGUACCUGAGGAAUAAGCAUCGGCUAACUCCGUGCCAGCCGCCGCGGUAAUUC
rnacentral:rRNA from 1 species